rnacentral:misc_RNA from 1 species
GAUGAAGAACGCAGCGAAAUGCGAUAAGUAAUGCGAAUUGCAGAAUUUCCGUGAGUCAUCGAAUCUUUGAACGCACAUUGCGCCCAUUGGUAUUCCGAUGGGCAUGCCUGUUCGAGCGUCAUUAUCCUCCCUCAAACCUCGUGUUUGGUGUUGGGUCUGGGCGGGUCGCGCUUUCGGGCGCGAACCCCGCCCGACCCCAAAGGCAAUGGCGGCGUCCGUGGGACCCUCUGGUGCAACGAGCUUCUUCGGAGCACGCACCGUUGGCGUCCUUCCGGGCCGGUCUUCGCGUUUCUCACGAAACGCAACUUUUUUUACAAGGUUGACCUCGGAUCAGGUAGGAAUACCCGCUGAACUUAAGCAUAUCAAUAAGCGGAGGA